GUCGCCCUGAGGAGAGAAGCCAUUUCUCUACUGCCUUCUGUCUCUGAAGAGGAGGAGGAAGUAAAAGUUGAAAAACAACAGGAAUGAAGUCAGUGGCAAGACCAGCCGGUGGCACUGAGGAGCCCGCCUGAGAGAUGAAAGGCAGAGCGUGCUCCAAGCGGCAACUAAGUGGCUAGAGGAACAUGCACCAGCUGAUUAUCAAAACCCGCAAGAGUAUGGAAGGACCCAGUUACCAGGAACCGACCGGCAGUAGGACCCACAUGAAAGAGAGGAUAUACAAAAGCUACACGGAGACAGGGAAGCUCUCUUGGAAGGAUUAAAGAGGGGAGCUCAGAAGGCUACAAACAUUAGCAAGGUCUCUGAGGUCAUUCAGGGAAAAGAAGAAAGUCCAGCACAAUUCUACGAGAGACUGUGUGAGGCCUAUGGUAUGUAUACUCCCUUUGAUCCCGAUAGCCCUGAA
rnacentral:lncRNA from 1 species